AUCACCUGGGGACGAAUAAUAGACAACAUCGUUAGAUAUAUAUGUUAUAUACGCUAAAUAUUUUUAACUCACGGUUUUAUCAAGACAAAUGUAAGAAUCUAAAUCUAAUUCACUACAUUUUAUCCAGCAUUUUGGUCAGAAAGUGACUUUUUUAAAGAUUUUAAAUGGAAAUGGACAGAGUCUUCCACCGGAAAGCUACCUCAAUUUAUUUUUUAAAUAAAAUUACGGACAACUUAUUUUACUAAUGUUACAAAAAUCAUGACUAAUGCAACUAAAUUAAAUUUCAAAACAGAGAGAUUUUUCUAAUCCUGCAGGAAUAAGUGGUCAAGAAGAAGACAGGUUAAACUGUGGUUAACAACUUUGAAGUAUGAUUGUGAACGUUCGGACUGCGAUUGCGAACUUUGGACUAUGAUUGAGAACUUCGGACUGCGAACAUCAGACUGCGUUUGCGAACUUUGGACUGUGAUCAAAAACGUUGGACUGUGAUUAAAAACUUCGGACUGUGAGUGAGAACUUCAGACUGCGAAAAUCUGACUGCGAUUGUGAACUUUGGACUGGAAUUGAGAACUUCGGAAAAUGAUUAAGAACUUCGGACAAUGGUUUGGAACAUGUAGCUGCGAUUGAGAACUUCGGAUUAUGAUUGAGAAAAAACUUCGGACUGCCAUUGAGAAAGAACUUCAGACUGUGGGGGCAGCAUUGGAUCUCUUGGUGUACAGCCUGCCAUUAUUAUUAUUAUUCUUAUUCUUAUUAUUAUUAGAAGAAGAAUCGAGCAGGAAACUCAAUAAAUCUCUAGUCAGCAGUCUCCACUGGCAAUGAGAUGACAGCGAUCAUCAGCCAAACAAACGAGAGAAAGCUCCGGAGGGAAAAGUGUGAGACGGAUGGAAGAGGAGCCGGGAGCCUAAAGUUUCGAUGAGUCAUCGUGAAACUGUGCCAGACUGUUCCAGACAAUAAUCCUGGUCCAAUUCAUCCAUUAAAUCACAAUCUACGUUAAUAAUUCAUCGCUUUGAGUGUUUUUGCGUGAUUUCAGCUAGGAACUCGGAAUUUCCGACUCGGAAACUCAGAGCAAACCUUGCCAACCCCCGACGAUGGCUGCCGCCCUACAAACUUCCAGUUUCACUCCCAGUUCCAACUUCCGAUGUAAAUUAAACGCAACAUAAAGUUCUG